rnacentral:rRNA from 1 species
UGGGGAAUAUUGGACAAUGGGGGGAACCCUGAUCCAGCAAUGCCGCGUGUGUGAAGAAGGCCUGAGGGUUGUAAAGCACUUUCAGAGGGGAGGAGGACUAUUAGGUUAAGAGCUAGAUAGUUGGACGUUACCCUCAGAAGCAGCACCGGCUAACUCCGUGCCAGCAGCCGCGGUAAUACGAAGGGUCCUAGCGUUGUUCGGAAUCAUUGGGCGUAAAGAGCACGUAGGUGGCCUUGUAAGUCAGAUGUGAAAGCCCAGGGCUCAACCCUGGAAGUGCAUCUGAAACUGCUUGGCUUGAGUACAGAAGAGGUAAGUGGAAUUCCUGGUGUAGUGGUGAAAUACGUAGAUAUCAGGAAGAACACCAGUGGCGAAGGCGGCUUACUGGUCCGACACUGACGCUGAGGCGCGAAAGCGUGGGGAUCAAACAGGAUUAGAUACCCAGGUAGUCCCUGAGCGGGCUGGCAAGGCGCAU